GGGCACAGUGUCCCAAGAGGAAAAGCUUGUUCGUAACUGGUGCUGCUUGGCUAAAACCCGAGCGGCACUUUUAAGAGUGUGCAACUGGC
rnacentral:snoRNA from 1 species